rnacentral:rRNA from 1 species
GACGAACGCUGGCGGCAGGCUUAACACAUGCAAGUCGAACGCCCCGCAAGGGGAGUGGCAGACGGGUGAGUAACACGUGGGAACGUACCCUUUGGUUCGGAAUAACUUGGGGAAACUCAAGCUAAUACCGGAUAAGCCCUUAUGGGGAAAGGUUUACUGCCGAAGGAUCGGCCCGCGUCUGAUUAGCGAGUUGGUGAGGUAAUGGCUCACCAAGGCGACGAUCAGUGGCUGGUCUGAGAGGAUGAGCAGCCACACUGGGACUGAGACAGGGCCCAGACUCCUACGGGAGGCAGCAGUGGGGAAUAUUGGACAGUAGGGGCAACCCUGAUCCAGCCAUGCCGCGUGAGUGAUGAAGGCCUUAGGGUUGUAAAGCUCUUUUACCCGGGACGAUAAUGACUGUACCGGGAGAAUAAGCCCCGGCUAACUUCGUGCCAGCCGCCGCAGUAA